AUUCAUUGUAGCCAGUGUGUGGUGCAGGUCCGCAGCCGGCGGACUGCCAGCUGAGCGCGUGGAGCGAGUGGAGCCGCUGCAGCGUGACGUGCGGCGUCGGCUUCCAGGAGCGCACGAGGACCGUGCUGUCGCAGGCGGGCCCGGGCGGCGCGCCGUGUCCGCAGCGCACCUCCCGCCGCAGACGGUGCUCGCGCGUCUGCUAGACCGCUCCGCACGAGGACUGACCCACCGCUCACUCGCGACGGCCAGCUGCCGCGCACGACGGGUGGCGUCUACUUAAUACUCAACUCUUUAUACUUUUAAGAAAUAUAAACAUAUAUUUGGCAUUAAA